CAGAGCUGUGGCUGUGACAUAAUACUGGGUUCUGUCGUGCCCGCGUUUUCACUUGGGUAUCAGGACGGAUUCCUAAAACGAAACCCUGGGUACUUUUAGCCAAGAAGAGUGACACGGACGCCUGUGAUUGGUUGAAAGGAGUAGAGGAGAAUACGAACUAACGAAGGGGCUAUAACCAAGAGGAACCAUUUUUCCCAUGUAUUGUCAGUGUAGUUUCACUUGUGUUACGCUCCGUUAAGGUGACCGGAAGGUUAUUUCGUCGAUUUUGUGAAGAGACGAGAGGCAAGUCCGCUGAAAAUUACUACAACCAGUACUUUGAAGAAAGCUGAAGGUUUGACUCAGGAGAGGAUCGGCAAUGUUUUCUUAACUUCCAGUUGUCACCUUCGUACGAAGCACUUACACAUUUCAAUAUGGGAAUCUUCCAGUCCUUCUAUACAGCGAACUCAAGUGAUUAAAAUUAAGAUCAACGCUGUAACUUACCACUUAAUGAUGCCACGGGGUCAGAGACAUUAGUUUGCAGAAAAAUUGAGAAAUGCCAAGGCAGAUGAGCAACAAGCAAAGAAGGACAUGGGU